rnacentral:rRNA from 1 species
AAUGAACGCUGGCGGCAUGCCUAACACAUGCAAGUCGAACGAGCCCUUCGGGUCUAUUGGCGCACGGGUGCGUAACGCGUGGGAACCUGCCCUUAGGUUCGGAAUAACUCCCCGAAAGGGGUGCUAAUACCGGAUAAUGUCUUCGGACCAAAGAUUUAUCGCCCUUGGUUGGGCCCGCGUUGAAUUAGCUUGUUGGGAGGGUAAAAGCCUACCAAGGCGACGAUCCAUAGCUGGUCUGAGAGGAUGAUCAGCCACACUGAGACUGGGACACGGCCCAGACUCUUACGGGAGGCAGCAGUGGGGAAUAGUGGAAAGUGGGCGAAAGGAUGAUCCUGCAAUGCUGGUAGAGCGAUGAAGGCAUGAGGGAAGUAAAGCUCUUUUACCCGGGAUGAUAAUGACAGUACCUGGAGAAUAAGCUCCGGCUAACUCCGUG